GACCUACGGGAGGCAGCAGUGGGGGAUAUUGCACAAUGGGGGAAACCCUGAUGCAGCGACGCCGCGUGGGUGAAGAAGCGCCUCGGCGCGUAAAGCCCUGUCAGCAGGGAAGAAAAUGACGGUACCUGAAGAAGAAGCCCCGGCUAACUACGUGCCAGCAGCCGCGGUAAUACGUAGGGAGCAAGCGUUGUCCGGAAUUACUGGGCGUAAAGGGCGCGUAGGUGGGCGCUUAAGUCAGGUGUGAAAACUCCGGGCUCAACCUGGAGACUGCACUUGAAACUGGGUGUCUUGAGGGCAGGAGAGGA
rnacentral:rRNA from 1 species